rnacentral:lncRNA from 10 species
GUAUCCCUGGUAUUCUGAAUUUCAGAAUGUUGGUCUCUUCAUUGAUUUUGCUAGGCACUCAGUGGACCCUUUCCAUCUGGCAAUUCAUGAUCUUCAGUACUGGGAAGAUCAAUUAUUUCUUUGAUUUCCUCUUUCUGUAUUCUCUGUUCUCCUUUUCUGGAACAUAUAUUUGUGAUUUGUGUUUGUAAUUUUCUAUCUCUUUCUGCCCAUUUUCCCAUUUUUAAAAUUUUUGUUCUGUCUUCUGUAUCUUCAAAUUUAUCUUAUAACUUUUAUUUUUUGUUUAUACUAUCUUUUUAAAAUUUCUUCUUUCAUAAAUGUAAUAUUUCCUGUCUCCUAAGCCAGUUAGUUACCACAUAUAGGCUCCAGACAACUAAUGACAGUACAAAAUAGGCUCUGAUUAGAUGUUGAAAUGUUUGGUACUGAUACUAAGUGCUAGGGGAUAAAAGGGUCUACAAAAACCACUAUCUGCCAGAAAAACUUGAAACAAUUUCAUGGAAGGGGUAAGAUAGGAUCUGGACUUGGAAUAUAGGUAGAUGCUAAAGAAAACCCUUAUGGCGAGGAUGACAAUAAGAGUCCAUUCCCCCUGCAGCCCA